rnacentral:lncRNA from 1 species
GCGGAGCUGGACAGAGGCGUGGUUUGAAUUUCGCGGACGAAAUUCUUUUUAAGAGGUGGAGAAUGUAACAUACCAGAUUUUGGUAUAAAAAUAAAAAUAAAUAAAAAUAGUGUGAGAAACUAUUUUUAUUGGAUUUGUAGAAGUAAAACAUAAGUCAGAAGUGACUUGUGCUGAAAUCGAAAUGAAAACAGAAAAUUUAGAAUUUUCUGUUGGAAACGGGACAAAUAAAUUAGCAGAAAAUGCACAGUCUCAGAAAAUUAUAAAAAUUGGAGGAUAGGUCAGAAAUAUUUUUAUGAGGCUAGAUUUAAAGUUUCAUAUUUUUCUGACACCCGUAGAGUGAGAAAUAAAAUCCGACAGCUAUCUGAUAAAGAUUACAGUUCGGUACAGUUUUCAGUGACCAAACGGGGUCGAAACUGAACCAGCGAUCGUCAGCUUGUUAAGUUAAGUAAAAC